rnacentral:rRNA from 1 species
GUCGAACGAGUUCUCGUUGAUGAUCGGUGCUUGCACCGAGAUUCAACAUGGAACGAGUGGCGGACGGGUGAGUAACACGUGGGUAACCUGCCCUUAAGUGGGGGAUAACAUUUGGAAACAGAUGCUAAUACCGCAUAGAUCCAAGAACCGCAUGGUUCUUGGCUGAAAGAUGGCGUAAGCUAUCGCUUUUGGAUGGACCCGCGGCGUAUUAGCUAGUUGGUGAGGUAAUGGCUCACCAAGGCGAUGAUACGUAGCCGAACUGAGAGGUUGAUCGGCCACAUUGGGACUGAGACACGGCCCAAACUCCUACGGGAGGCAGCAGUAGGGAAUCUUCCACAAUGGACGCAAGUCUGAUGGAGCAACGCCGCGUGAGUGAAGAAGGCUUUCGGGUCGUAAAACUCUGUUGUUGGAGAAGAAUGGUCGGCAGAGUAACUGUUGUCGGCGUGACGGUAUCCAACCAGAAAGCCACGGCUAACUACGUGCCAGCAGCCGCGGUAAUACGUAGGUGGCAAGCGUUAUCCGGAUUUAUUGGGCGUAAAGCGAGCGCAGGCGGUUUUUUAAGUCUGAUGUGAAAGCCCUCGGCUUAACCGAGGAAGCGCAUCGGAAACUGGGAAACUUGAGUGCAGAAGAGGACAGUGGAACUCCAUGUGUAGCGGUGAAAUGCGUAGAUAUAUGGAAGAACACCAGUGGCGAAGGCGGCUGUCUGGUCUGUAACUGACGCUGA